rnacentral:rRNA from 1 species
GUCUGUGGCCAUGCCACCCUGAACAAGCCCGAUCCCAUCUGAUCUUGGAAACCAAGCAGGGUCGGGCCUGGUUAGUACUUGAAUGGGAGACCAUUCAAGUACUAAUAGGAAUAAAUAAU